rnacentral:rRNA from 1 species
GAUGAACGCUGGCGGCGUGCCUAAUACAUGCCAGUCGAGCGAACGGACGAGAAGCUUGCUUCUCUGAUGUUAGCGGCGGACGGGUGAGUAACACGUGGAUAACCUCCCUAUAAGACUGGGAUAACUUCGGGAAACCGGAGCUAAUACCGGAUAAUAUUUUGAACCGCAGGGUUCAAAAGUGAAAGACGGCCUUGCGGUCACUUAUAGAUGGAUCCGCGCUGCAUUAGCUAGUUGGUAAGGUAACGGCUUACCAAGGCAACGAUGCAUAGCCGACCUGAGAGGGUGAUCGGCCACACUGGAACUGAGACACGGUCCAGACUCCUACGGGAGGCAGCAGUAGGGAAUCUUCCGCAAUGGGCGAAAGCCUGACGGAGCAACGCCGCGUGAGUGAUGAAGGUCUUCGGAUCGUAAAACUCUGUUAUUAGGGAAGAACAUAUGUGUAAGUAACUGUGCACAUCUUGACGGUACCUAAUCAGAAAGCCACGGCUAACUACGUG